rnacentral:tRNA from 1 species
CUGAAGAUGUUAACAUGGACAAAAAGUCCCGAAUGACA